rnacentral:rRNA from 1 species
ACUGAACGCUGGCGGCAGGCUUAACACAUGCAAGUCGAGCGGGGUGAUGGUGCUUGCACUAUCACUUAGCGGCGGACGGGUGAGUAAUGCUUAGGAAUCUGCCUAUUAGUGGGGGACAACAUCUCGAAAGGGAUGCUAAUACCGCAUACGUCCUACGGGAGAAAGCAGGGGAUCUUCGGACCUCGCGCUAAUAGAUGAGCCUAAGUCGGAUUAGCUAGUUGGUGGGGUAAAGGCCUACCAAGGCGACGAUCUGUAGCGGGUCUGAGAGGAUGAUCCGCCACACUGGGACUGAGACACGGACCAGACUCCUACGGGAGGCAGCAGUGGGGAAUAUUGGACAAUGGGGGGAACCCUGAUCCAGCCAUGCCGCGUGUGUGAAGAAGGCCUUAUGGUUGUAAAGCACUUUAAGCGAGGAGGAGGCUACUCUAGUUAAUACCUAGGGAUAGUGGACGUUACUCGCAGAAUAAGCACCGGCUAACUCUGUGCCAGCCGCCGCAGUAA